rnacentral:rRNA from 1 species
UACGAGGGGGGCGAGCGUUGUUCGGAAUUAUUGGGCGUAAAGGGCGCGUAGGCGGCCGCCUAAGUCAGACGUGAAAUCCCUCGGCUCAACCGGGGAACUGCGUCUGAUACUGGGUGGCUUGAAUCCGGGAGAGGGAUGCGGAAUUCCAGGUGUAGCGGUGAAAUGCGUAGAUAUCUGGAGGAAUACCGGUGGCGAAGGCGGCAUCCUGGACCGGCAUUGACGCUGAGGAGCGAAAGCUAGGGGAGCAAACGGG